rnacentral:sRNA from 1 species
GCUUUGAGAAGCAAGAAGAAGGUUGGUUAGUGUUUUGGAGUCAAAUAUGACUUGUUGUCAUGUGUAAGAUUCAUUAUAACAACUUAAACCGCAACCUGAUCUUAAAAGCCUAAGUAGUGUUUCCGAGUUAGAAGACACAAAGCCAAAGACACAUAUAGACUUUGGCUACACCAUGAAAGCUUUCAGAAGCAAGAAGAAGGUUGGUUAC